rnacentral:rRNA from 1 species
AGUGAACGCUGGCGGUAGGCCUAACACAUGCAAGUCGGACGGCAGCACAGUAAGAGCUUGCUCUUACGGGUGGCGAGUGGCGGACGGGUGAGGAAUACAUCGGAAUCUACUUUUUCGUGGGGGAUAACGUAGGGAAACUUACGCUAAUACCGCAUACGACCUACGGGUGAAAGCAGGGGAUCUUCGGACCUUGCGCGAUUGAAUGAGCCGAUGUCGGAUUAGCUAGUUGGCGGGGUAAAGGCCCACCAAGGCGACGAUCCGUAGCUGGUCUGAGAGGAUGAUCAGCCACACUGGAACUGAGACACGGUCCAGACUCCUACGGGAGGCAGCAGUGGGGAAUAUUGGACAAUGGGCGCAAGCCUGAUCCAGCCAUACCGCGUGGGUGAAGAAGGCCUUCGGGUUGUAAAGCCCUUUUGUUGGGAAAGAAAAGCAGCAGGUUAAUACCCCGCUGUUCUGACGGUACCCAAAGAAUAAGCACCAGCUAACUUCGUG